AGAGAGAAAAGUAGAACAAAAAAAUGUGAAAAAAAAGUGAAGGUUGUGUUAGUGUGUAAUAAAAGUCAGCUUGCCGAAUUAUGGAUUUAAUGUUGAGAUUUUGGUUAAUAGUUGGACCAUUUGUUGAUAAAUGUUGUGUGUCAUUCCUUUUUCUUAGAUUAGUUAACCUAAAAUUAGAGAAAUUUGUGGUUUAGAAGCUAACCGGAGUGAUGUUUCUUGGACUUGACCAUUGAUGCUUGAUUAUUAUUUUUCUUGGUAUCUUGGCAAUUUGUUGGAUAGAGCAAUAGCCACUAUCAAAUAUUGGUGUUUGAUCGCUUUUCUCAUGCUUGAGGACAAGCAUGGUUUAGGUGUGGGGGAAUUGAUAGGUUGUAAUUUUAUCAUUUAUUUUAUUAUUAAUUUUCCCUAUUACCUGACCUAAUGUGGAUUAAUUGCUAGAUUCUACUCACUUUUGAUAUUUUGCAUUUAUUUCAGGGAGUAGAACGAAAAUAGGUGCUAAUUUGGCAAGAAAAGAGUUCAGAUGAUAGAGUUUGUCCUAGGGGCAUUUUUGGAACAACAAAACGUGAGCCCUUGUUGGGCAAAUUGGGCCGAAGUCUUCAUUUUUCCGCACAGGAGCCGCCGCAAGGAGCACUACUUUAUAUAGGAAAAUUGCGCAGGAAAAAAGGGGUCUUCUUCUUCCUCUGCGGAAGGAGAGCCGCCGCGCAGAGCUUCUCAAAAGAGGACAUUAGAUAGGAAUAGAGCAAACAAUGGCAGACAACUCUUUAGCUUAGUCUUUUGACUUUUCCUUGUGGGCUCCAAGUAGCUUUUCCUUUUCCUUCUCGUAUGAUUGGACAAGUAGAAACCAUAGAAUCAAUUGCUGUAGCUUUGCUAUCUUUUCAAACAUUGGAACCGAAUUGAAUUUCCCCAAUUUCAAGGGACAAUGGCUGCGGCUCUCUUUACAAUUUCUGGUGGGUUUAGUUCAUCAAUUAUGAACUAAUUUUCCAAUUCUAGUCAAGGAGCAACGAAGGCUCUGGUUCAUCUAAAAAUUGUGAGAUCGUUUUAAUUUAAUCUUUUCCUUUUAUUUAUUGGUAUCCGCACAUUUCUUGAUUGCUAUGCUUAUGGUUAUUUAAUUAAUUGAUUGUCUUGGAUCCAGAUAAUUAGUUGAUUGGGUAAUCUAUUGUCAAUUAGGGCAUUAAAUCCGUAAUUGUUUAAUUGCUCUAAAAUAGUGACAAUUGGCAUGAUUAGGUUUGUGUCAGGGGAAUACGCGGGCUAAUCUAAAAUAACCCUGGUAGUGUGUUAUUUGGUUAGAAUAGGGCUCCUCUAAUACGUAAGGCAAUUGGGGAAUUAAAUUCUAUGGGCGUACCUAGGAUUAUUUCUCAAUUAGAGCAGUGAUUAACGGGCGUACCUUGAUCACCGACACAGUAAGGAGGGGUUGACUGCCAUCGCUUGUUUGGUAGUUAUAACCUAUUUAUUGAUAAAUAAUUGGAAUUGCCUUUGUUUCAAUGAUCAAUUAGGUGAACCAUUGCUGAAGUUAUUUCUUGGCUAGAUCCUUAAUUAUCACUCAUUUGAUUUUAGUAAUUGGUUAUUUAAUUUUUAGUAAUUUCUUAGAUUUUAGUUGAAUUGCUUAAAUUGUCACCCCUGAGAUAAAAACAUCCCCCUUUGUCACUGUGAAUUUAAAAAGAAACAAUUACUCCCAGUCCCUGUGGAUUCGACCCUGCUUACCGCUAUCUACAGAAAUUAACUUUAGUUUGAGCAGGUUUUAUUAUUGCACAGGCUUCGACAUCCUGUCACUUCCAGUUUGAAGUUUUGAACUAUACACGAAUUUCUAUUUUAACCCUUAAACUUUAGUCAGGAUAUUUUAUUCCCUAAAGUAUGAAAUUUUUUUCAAUUUAGUUCUUAAAUUUUAUUUUUAGAAACUUUACCACUAAACUAGAAAUCAUUCCCACUUGAGUCGUUAAACUUUAGGCAUUAAUUGCCUACUAUUAUGUUAAUUUUGACAAUUAUGUGAGAUGAAUUUCAUACUUUAUGGGGUAAAGUGUCUAAAGUUGAAUUUCAAGGACUAAUUAAAGUGGAUGAAUUUCAUACUUGAUGGGGUAAAAUGUUGAAAAAUAAGGUUGAAGAACUAAAGUGAUAAUGCAUCUAUAGUUUAACGGUCUAAAGUGGAAUUUAGCAGUUGAACUGUUACUCUUGUAUGCUGCUGGUCAUCCUUUGCUUAGCAUGACUAGGUUUGCACAACUUAGUCUUAAAGUCCAUUUCAUCUUACAAGUUACAACCCAACCUAAUCAUUCCCCUUUUGAUGAAUCGACAAGAAAAAAUUGGCUAUGUACACAAAGUCAUUAAAACAAUACAUAAUUUGCCACAGUCAAAUUCUCUUUUUAUAUAUGGGAUAAAUUAGAUCUCACGAGACUUGGAAAAUCAACUCAGUGAUCUUAUAUCUUUGCUUGUUUCAAGAAACAAUUAUGUGACAUCGGUUCUGGAAGGACUAAUUCCAACUAAAGUAAUGAUCCAGAGCAAUCCAUUUUGAUUGCCAAUUGAAUUUGCUUCUGAGAUGGAACUUACCUACAACUUUUCUGAAACUAUCUACAUUUCAAAGUCGCGUCUGAAAAGAAGCAGUAAUAAACACAAUUCUCAAGUACUAUUAUCAAUACAAAGUCACGUGUGAUUGAGAGUAUAAGAAUACAAAGUGUCCUGCAAUGAUUUCUCAAGAAUUUAAAACAAAAUCAAUAUUUUCUUAUGUCAUUCCACUUAUUUACAGUGCAUUUGGAUUUACGAUUAUUUGGAUAAUCUUUUCGAAUAUAACACUAUAGCACAAUUUGGAUAGAGUAUUAUUUGAAAUAUUAUUUGGAAUAAUUAUUGUAGCACUUUUUGUUGCGUGAUAUAUGUGAGAUAAAAAGAUAAUUGAGAAUAUAAAAAGGUGAGUUGAGAAAUGUGUUUAUGAUGCAAUAGAAAUAUUAUCUGACAUAUUUUUGCUAUCCAAACACUCUUGUACGUUUAAAAAAAACGUGGUUAAAAAUUAUGUUCAAGAAAUAACACAAAAAAAAAUCCAAAUAAUGGUGUAUAUGUCCAAUCUGAUUUUUGUUCAUAAUUUGAUAUUGAUUUGGCUGAUUGAAUGUGCAGUUUGAUGAGUUUAAUCACACAGUUCAUGCAUUAAAAAUCCAUAAAACUUGUCAGAUUGUUUGAAUUAACAACCAACUAUGUCUUAAUCAAUUGGCUCUUCAACUGACAACCCCACAAUGUAUUUUGACUUUCACACUUUGAUCUCUUGAUUCGCACUGCUAAAGUUUGAAAUAAUUGGGUUAUUAUCACUUUACCCCCUUAGCGUUUGGUGCUACUAUCAAUUUUCCCCUUAACAUUAUCUUUUAAUCAUUUUACCUCCAAGACUGACGGUCAAACUUAACGGAGUUUGUUAAUUAAAGUGAAAAGACAUGUUUAACUCUUAAAAUUAUUAUUACUUUACCCCCAUAAAAUAUAGUCUCAUUAUCAAUUUACCCCCUUGAGUUAUUUUUUAAAUAAUUUAUCCUACCAUUAAACCAACUUAAUAAGUUAAAAAACUUUAGAAGAAAAUACCCUCCUCUUUGCAUAAUAAAAAUAAUAAAAAAUUUAGAGUGACUCUUCUUCUUUUUAGUAUCAAGAAAAAAAGUCAAAAUAUUAAUUUCUUUCUUCUUGGCAGCCUUAUUAAUAUUGAAAAAAAUAGAAAGAUGGAGAGGGGGAGGGGGAGGGGGAGAGGGAGAGAGAGAGCUCAAUCAUUUUUUAAAAAAAUUACAAAUAAAAAAGAAUUAAAUACUUUUAUUAUUUUAAAAUUAUUUCACUUUUUUGUUUACCACCAAAUUCUAAUCCUAAUCUCGACAACCUUAAAGUAAUACGAUAAUGUUAGACUUUUUUUUAUUUUCUUUUUUUGCAAAAUCUAAUUUUUUGUUUCUUUCUUUCCUAUCUCUUUUUCUUUUCCUAGUAUUAAUAAAUGGGAAAAAAGAAAUUUGAGAAAAUCCUUUUAUUUUUACGUUUUUCGAUCUCUUGAAGUGAAAAAAAGAAAGAAUAACCAUUUCAACUUUUUUAUUUUUAAUUAUAUAAAAAAGGGUACAUAUAUUUAAAAAAAUUUAACCAUACUAGUUAAAUUAAUGAUAAGGUAAAAUGUCUAGAAAAUAAUGUUAGGAACUAAAGUGAUUGUAUCACUAUAAUUUAAACGAAUAAAGUGAUAAUAACAAUGUAGUAAUGUUAUAAAAUAAAAGGGUAUUUUUGUCCAAAAUUUCUUAACAUAUUGAGUUGAAUUACUUAUGAGGGUAAAGUGACUAAAAGAUAACGUUAGGGGGUAAACUGAUAAUAGUUAUAUAGUUUAAGGGGGUAAAGUGAUAAUAACCCGAAAUAAUUUGCAUUGUACAAAUGAGAGUACAAUUUCUAGCAGCCACACUAUGUCUUGAGUCUUGACUAAUAUGAAACGCUGGGGUACCCCUAUCAUUUCUUCCUUUUCAACGAUGACUCAUUCCUGCGUUGGUAUGACCUUUUCUUAUAACACUGGGAAGUAUACAAAUUCAAACUCAAUUAUUGAUUCAUUAAUAAAACAAUUGGCUAAAGAAUUAGAAUUCAAGAAGUUAGUUUUCGAACCUUUACUUUUCAGCCUUGAUUUCUCCUAUCCAUCGUUGUAUCUUAGGUUCGUAUCCCGUGUGGUAUAUUACCAAUGAAAAAUUUUUUGCAAAAGAACUUUGACAAAAUUAUCAGUGAUUUUCCUACGAUCCACAAUUCCACAUAUAGGACUCAACUCUCUGUGUCCAGUUUAAACAAGCACCCAAUUCAACUUUCUUUUUCCUUUUUUUUCCCUCAUUUAGUGUGGUGGUAUUAAUUUGUAACUUCAUCAUAGACAUGUACCCAGAAACCAAAAUAAAUAAAUAAAUAAAUACAAAGAAAACCACCUUAGCCUUCUCAAAAACCGCUACAUGAAACCUUGUUCCCAAAACUUUUCUUUCACAUUAAACUUGUUCACAUAUUCAACCAAUUCAAUGGACAUAGAAUUCCAAAUGAUGUCGUCCAGUCCUUUGAUGCCCGUAAUUCAAUGCCCGUACAUAGAACUUUUUUUUUUUUUUUUGUACUUUGACCGUAAUAACAAGAAAGGCGAAAUAGAGUCUUUUUUUCUUUUAGUUUUGAUCCCUGAUGUUCGGCAAAUGUACCAAAUUGAUCUCCAAUGUUUUGAUCAAAAUAAAUGUGCCCCUUAGAAUUUCUAAUUUUAGGCAAAGUAGGAAAAUCGAUGAAAAUUCAAUAGUCCCAAAUGGUAAAAAUCAAAUAAUUGUUCAGCAACAAUUUCUUAAUUUGAAUUGCAUUUUCUUUUGGUACGAGGGGGCUAUCAUAUUUUACAUGCAGGUCUCUCUAUUUUCUUGUCACGCAUAAGUUUACUUGCAAUGCUAUUACAAUACAUGAGCAUAUAUAUGAGCAACUAUUACUUGAAGGCGAUAAACCUGAAGUUCAGGGAAUAGUAGUGAGUUUGGAAAAGGUCAGCCGAAGCAAGGAAAAUUAGUAAGUGUCUCUAGCUUGGAACCAGCAAACUUUUCGAUACAUUUCGUCUAGGUUUUUAAUCCGAGGAGCUUUUGGAUAGGCAGUGGCAGAGAAGAGAGGAGUGCAAGUUACAAAUUUCUCUAAGGCAAAAUUAUGGGAAGUGAGACCAAUUUAUGGUUUUUUUUACCAGGGCAAAUGACACUUUACCCCCUAUGGGUUAGUAUUGUUUUUACAUAAACCCUCCUAUGGUUUCAAAAUCUAUAUAUAACCUCCUUACGAUUUGGAUUAAAGUGUCAAAGUAACGGAAAUGAUCAUUCGUGAUGGAGUCACCCAAAAUAUAAAAAAUACCUUUAUGUAAAGUUGAAAAUUAUUUAUUAACCAAGGGGGGUUAUGUAUAUAUUUUGAAAACCAUAAGGGGACUAUAUGGUAAAGUAUUCAACCAUAAUAGAGUCAUAUGGUAAAAUAUAAAACUAUAAGGGAUUAGUGUAUUAUGUAUUUAUAAGAGUAAUUUCGAUAUUUUUAAAGGUUUACGAAUGAUCAUUUCGGUCACUUUGAUACUUUAAUCUAAAUUAUGAGCGAGUUAUGUAUAACUUUGAAACCAUAGGGGAAUUAUGUGUAAAAACUAAACCACGGGGGGGUAAAGUGUAAUUUGACAUUUUUACCAUAAUGUUACAAGGGCCAAGAAGAGGACUUAUUAAUAGGUUAAUAGAAAUUGUAGGCGGCAGAGGGUUCCCCAAAGGCCCCUAUGGGCCAAUAUGCUGAUAGCUUUUAUAUGCCUAUGUGUACCACUUGGUUUAAUUUACUCUUUUCAGAUAUGUCAAUGAAAACCAUAGGUUUACCUCAAAUUGAGAAAACUAAUGUUCACUACUGUACUUAUACUGUAGAUAGUAUGUUCCAACGUGCCAAAAAAAAAAAAUCAUAGGAAAGGAUUGUGGCAAAGAGACCAUCAUAUAUAAUUGUGCAUUUUCUUUAGAUUUCUGGUGCUGAAUUAAUCUGCAUGGAGGAACUAGUAAGAAGAAAUGUUCCAGAGAUAAUGCCUAGCAGAAGGGAGCACAAAAAUCGGAAUCUAACUUCCCUAUUGUCGUUUGGAUAUUUUCCUCUAGAGGGAAAGGAGAUGUUUUGAAAACUAUGCCAUAAAAUCGUAACAAAAUCCACCGAUGCUUCCCUGUCCAUCUGCUUCCAAUCUCAGCUCACUCUUCUCAACUACAACGGGAGAAAUGGAGACAAAAUCAAUCAAUGCCACGGCGGAGCAACCAGUUGAUGAAACCUACAUGUUCACCCGGUUUCAAGCUUGUGGGCUUCAAGAACUUCAUCAGAACCGACCCCAAAUCCUAUUUCUUCACCAUGAAUUGAAGCGCUUCCACCACGAAGAAUUCUAGUGCGGCAACGCCGCCAAAACUUGCAGCCGCUGAUUAGUCUGUACAAAAUAGACAGACUCUAAAAGAGCACACACUUCCUCUUGAUAUAGACUUGACCAUUUCUUUAAAAUCCUCAGCAUCACAUGAAACUCUAAGCAAUCCAUGCUGAGAAUAUCCCCAAUCCAAGACAGAAUCAUCAAGUAAAGAAACGAAAGAAGGGUGAUUGAUGAGCUUAACAGGAACACAUAAUCUCUCCAUCUUCUCAUUAUCAGUUCCCACAAGCAUGGGAACAUAACCUUUGCGAGGAGAACCAGUGGCCUCUGCAUCAUUGCUGCUGGACAAUCUUACAUAAUUAGGGGAAGAGCUCAUCUCCCUCCCUUUCAUGCUUUCUAGCUAGAUGUUUGAACACUGUUUUUCUUAUCCAAAGAGCAAAAUCUACUAAGGGAACAAAGCUCCCAAAGUAGUAAAAUUGAUAUGGACCGAGACUAGCUUUCUCUGGCUAUUGGAAGAACAUUCUCCAAUUUAUAUUCCAUUGUGGGCUUGUGGCACUGUGGUAUGGUUGGCAUCUAUGACUUUUUCAUGAAAAGAAUUAGUAAACUAUUGCUCUUUUUUCACUGCUGGUCAUCCUUUCGUUAGCUUGACUUGGUAUCAACAACUUAAUUUAAGCUUGUUUUUGCAAAUGAAUAUAAAGAUUGGUUGAUGUUAGCUAUUGAAUUGUUUUAUAGAAGUUUACGUGCACAAUCAAGUUGUGUACACAAAACGUGUUCAGAGUUCAGACAAUAAUACCAUUUCCUUCGAUGAUGACUUGGCAGAUUGAACAUGCACUUUCAUUUCAUUUGAUGAGAUUAAUCAUACAGAUCAUGCAUUAAGGAAAACCAUAAGUCAAGCUGGAGGUUCUGAAUUAAAAACCAUUUCUAGAUCAACUGACUCUUCAAUUUUUAUUGGUCUCAAUGCUAAUCUAUUUUGUGUUUUUCACACUUCGUUCUCUGGGUUCUCACUGCUUGGCAUGUCAAAACUUGGAUAACUGUUCCAAGAUCCAAUUUAAUUGAUAGAGAGAUUAGUCAAAUGAUUGUAAAAUUUUUUAUUUGACACUUAAAGCUUUUCCCUUUUCCAUGCUCUUUCUAGGAUUUGGAGUCUUCUUUUAGGUCCAAAAAAGCAGUAAAGUAUGCUCAGCUAAAGUUUGAAAUUUGUAUGGUACAGAUGGGAAUGCAAUUUUUAGCAGCCAGUGGCGCACUGCGUUCCGAGUGCUCUUUGACUGACCAUGAAACGUUGGGUUACGUAUCAUUUCUUCCUCUGAAAAAAGAUGACUCGUUCUGGGUGGGUGGGCUAGGACCUUUGCUUGUAGCACUGGGAAAGAGACGUGCAAACUCAAUUAUUGAUUCAUUCGUAGAAGAAUUGGCAGAAAAGCAGCAUUCUAGAACUUAAUAUUUUUAAUCUUUUACUUUGCAGCCUUUUUGACUCAAGUCCUAAAAAUAAUUUACCAAGUCAAAUAUAAUACUCAUAUUGGACAUGUCAGACCUCACUAGACUUGGAAAAUUGACCCGGUGAUGGUAUAUCUUGUCAACAAAAAGUUACAUGUGACCGAGAGUAUUAAAACACAAAAUAUUCCAAAUUGGUCUCUUAAGAAUAUCAACAAAAUUAAAUCAUAUUUUAUGCCAUUCCGCUUAUUUACAAUCCUGGUUCUUUAUCACUAGCGUCUAAUAUGAUUCUCAUGCACCUUUCCCCUGGUGUCCCAAUGCCUGAUUUGAAAAAUUAAAUAAAAAUUGCCUGAUCUAAAAAAUUAAGAAAAUACAGCAAUACUCUCAAGAUAUAAUUUCUGAGAGCACUCAAGUCUGAAGAUGUAUGUGUUGAGAAGAAUUUUAAGAGAGCCCUUCAGGGUUCUAUCAAUCGGGAAACAUGUUAUUAAUGCAAUUUAAUAAUAAGUGGGUUUGGAAUUGAAGAUCUUGGAUAAAUAUUAAAAAUAACACAAAACUAUCUACAGUAAAAUAUAUGUAAGUAUAAAAGAUCACUAAAAGAUUAAAAAAUGUAUAGUUGGAAAAUUUAUCUAGAGAAUUACACAGAAAGUUUUUUGCAAAUAAUGGAUUAUCAAAAUGGUUUAUUUUCCAUAAUUUCAUUUUGACUUGGCAGAUGCAAUGUGCACUUCUAUUUUCUUUGAAGAGGUAAAUUACGCAGAUCAUGCAUCAAGAAAACCAUUGAUCAUGCUGGAUAUUUUGAAUAGUAAAACAUGUGUAGAACUGACUUUUGAAUUCUUAUGGUUUGCUUAGUUCCCCACAAAAUCUAGUUUAUGUCUUUGUUCUCAUGUUUCUUGCAAAGGACUAGCUCCACUUUGUACCCCCAAAAUUUUUACGCUUUUUUUCACUUUACACUUUAAACGUCAAUUUUGUACACUUUGCACCUUAAACUCUCAAUUCUAAAUAAUUUGCAUGUGACGAUCCGAAUUUUUCUCAUUUUAUUUUAUUUUACUAGCUUAAUUAAUUAUUUACUCACCUGUUUCCUCCAAAUAAUUUAUUUCAAUCAUUUUAAACUUAUUUACCUGGAAUAAUGUCUUAAUUAUAUUUUUAACACGUCUCGUUAGUAAAAUUAAUUUUUUCUAGAGCUUGUUUAGUGGAAAAUAAGGAGUACACAUUUUUCGAGGCUAUGUUCGAUCCGAGAGUACAUUAGUCUUGGAGAAUUAAGAAUGAUUAAUAGUAGAUUAAGAAAAAUUAAUUGAGAGAUUAGAUGUGAGUAAGUUAAAAUUAAACUUAUACCGUGCGCGCGUCGAAAGUUUCCGAAAGACGCGCUGGUACAAAUUAAUUGGAGAUUUGAGGAAUUAAUACUAGACUCAUGUGAGGAAUCAUGUUUUUAUUUCUAAAAUAGUUAUUUUCAUGAUUAUAUACCAUAGUAUUAGUUAGUUAUAUCAUCGUUACAAGAAUUUCUUUGAAAUUGCGUUUUAUCGCGCACAAAUCGGAAGUAAGCGUUUUCGCGGCGCGCGAUUAUUUGAGGGACUUUGGACAUUUAUUUUUAGACUAUUAAAAGUGAAUAAUAAUAAUGUUAAUGGAAGUGCACUAGAGGUUUAGUCCACAAGUGAAACAAACCAGAGAGGAAAUGGGCACGAAACGCCCGUGUACGCGCACUAUUGGAGAGUUGACUUUUGUGCACCUUAGAGCCAACUACCAAGCUUACUCUAGAAGCUUUUGAUCAGCACAACACUCUCUCUUUUCUCUCUCAAACAGCCGGCCACACCAAGGAGAAGAAGGAACCAAAACUUCUUCAUCAUCUCACUCAAUCUUUCACCAAAUCAUUUCAAAUUCAUACCACAACUUGCAAAUAACUUGGAGAUCAUCUUGGACUAGGAGAGGAGCUUCAUUCUCACGGUUUUCUUGGAGCUCUAAGGACCGAAAAUUCUGAGUUCAUCAUCUAAGGAGGUAGCAAACCAUCCAACCCUUGAAACUUGAUUAUUGUAAGUUAGAUUAGACUUAGAAACUUGUAGCUUCAAGUGGGUAGCUUUAGAUGGUUGAAAAUCAUGUGAGUGGGCUCUAUGAAAUCCCACAAUGGACUUGUUGGGCUGAUGUGAUGAUUUUGGAUGUUGUUUUUGUUGAUUAAGUGUUAAAUGAGUAGUUAUAAGUUGAAAAAGUGGAAAGAAAAUCAAAGGAGGUUGAAAACUAAGAAGGGCCGAAUCUGCCCUGUUCUUGUUGGACCCUUGGUGAGAUUUUUUUGUGACCAAAUGGCCUUGAUUUUGAUGUAGAUAUGUUGUAUAGGUUGUGUGGAAAGUUUCCACCAAAAAUCACUUGAUUUGGUUGGGUAAAUGUUUGGAUUUCAAAAAUUCUUCAUAGCUGGAAAACGUGUCCAGAGUUACUCUGGUAGGGAAUUUUAAAUGACCAUAACACUUUGUUCCGAUGUCGAAAUCGGGUGCCGUUUGUAGAAUUAGAAACUAUACACUUCCAGUUUUCUAACGGUAUAAAAUACAUCCCCUGAUUCCACCUGAGUGAACCGUACCAACUCCUCAAAGUUACCUGUCCUGUUUCACGACUGUGCUAGAGGGACAGUGAGGUGCUGGAACUUGUUGCUUGAAUUUGAGCUAGCUAUGGACAGAAUUUCAAAACGAUUUCUUCUGAAAAUUGUAGCCUUAUGAAUUUAUUUUUCAAUGCCACCAACCACGCCCAAUUCCAAGUUGCAUUGAGUGAGUUGUGGCCGAAUUACGAAACUGUCUCAGUGAUGGAAAACCCUCAUUUUGGCUAGCCGAAUGGCUUAGCUCAAAUUGGGACUUGAUAUUUUGAAUCCUUUGAUGUCAAUCACCUACCAAAUGUGUAUUGGAUGUUUCUUAGACCUUUCCUUUAUAAAUAGACCAGAUUUGAAAUGAUUUCAUUGGCCAAAAGUUAGAAAAAGGAAAAUGGAAGUACAAGGCAGAUUUGCCUUGGAAAUUCUUGGAACUUUAGUGACUUUGUUAACUGACCUUCCGUACGAAUUUUUGCAUGAAAUUUGACAGAGGAAUAGCCCUUAUAUGGUAGUGAAAUACUACCAAAUUUGGUUCCAUCCCAAGUCCAUUUCGAUGCCCAACCAAAGUCUCAAAGUUCAUGUUUCAAAUCUGGAAAAUCCUUAUUCAGUGAGAAAUUUUCAGCAACUUUGAGCUGCUAUAUCUUGGCUCUCAAAACUCCGAUUCUUGUUCCAUUUAUUGUGUUUUAAACUUUGAUUGUAACUCUAAUUGAGUUCCAAAUUUUAGAGGCUAGUUCACAUUCUGUAAAUUUUACCGAAUUUCCAAAGUUAGCCAAAAAUCAACCCCAAAUCUAUCUUGGGAGUUCAAAUUAGUAGCCUUAAGCCAAAAUUUGAGUGUCUUCCAUUUAGAAUCAUGAAAAAGUGUCUUCUAGGAAAUUUUAGCACUUUGGAAGUAGUUUCCAACGGUACCAAGUUUUCCAAUUUUCGACCUACGGAGAGUGAGAUAUGAUUUUUCAAAGAUUACACCUCAAAUCUGGAAUUUCUGAACUUAAAGGGAAUUAAGUUUAUAGAAACUCUCCAUUUUCCUUCGAUAUUGCUUGACCGUUUUACACUUGAUUUCAAAGAUGAAAAUCAAUUUUUCCUUGUAUUAUUAAACCCCACUUUUGAGCCUCGAUUUACGAAUAAUUAAGGCUCAUUUUCAUGAUAUUUUCUUAGGACGUACAAGUGUACAAUCUACCUUAAUAACCAGGGGUUUUUAAGGGAUUGUGUGUGAUAGUUAAUUAUUAUUUACUCAUGCACUCAAGGAGACCUUCAAGAGGACCUCACAACGGAUGCUUAAAUACUUGAAUUGUGCACCACACUCUCUUAUUUUGCCUAAGUGAGUGUCAAGUGCAUGAAUAUUUGGAAAUUAUGUGAAUUACUCAUUAUGAAAUAGAUGGUUUAUAACUACUGAGUCGAGUAUGUACCUUAUUGAAUGCGUUCUCAUUUAAAUGAAUUGUAAUUGAAUUGCCUGAAUUGAAUUGAAUUAUAUGUUAUGGUUGUAUAUGUCGUUGGAGUGAAUCUCCUCGACUCAUAAUUGAACUAUAUGACUGCCGAUUGGAGUGCGCUCAUCGGCCUAUAAAGGUAUUUGUCGAUUGGACUGAAUGUCAUUAACCUUUAUAAUUAUAAUCGUAUAAUCAGAUUUCUGAGCGAUAGCAUGUACCACACUGAUUUGGGUGGGAGGUACCUCUUAUGUCGUCUCAGAACCAUAAACCUUUCUAAAUCGAUUGGAGCGAUGUCUCAUCAAUUACUGGGCGAUAUUAUGUACCACACCGAUUCGGGUGGGAGGUACCUCUCAUGUUGACUCAGAAUCAUAAACAAAGUAUAAGUCGAUUGGAGCAAUGUCUCAUAGACCAUUGAGGGAUAGUAUGUACCACACCGAUCCGGGUGGGAGGUACCUCUCAUGUCACCUCAGAACUGUAAACAUAUAGUCAAUUCCCUGAGCGAUAGCAUGUACCACACCAAUUCGGGUGGGAGGUACCUCUCAUGUCGACUUAGAACCAUAAAUGGAGGUAUUGAAUUGAAUAUGGGCAAAACAAUUGGAAAUUAGCUCCUGAGAGCUCCUGCAUCCUACUCAAGUGUAUUUUAUUAUAAAUUGUGAAUUACUUGAAUGUUAUAGCUUUCAUUAUUGUGUAAGUGCUAUUGUUAUUUGAAUUAUGCGUUUUGCAUGUUUUCUUGGUCUCGCGAGUAUUCGCUCACUCCGUUAGAUUCGUUUUCCUUAACAGGAGCUGAAAUGGAAAGAAUUAUGGAGAGGUCGACUUGAUGGCCCUUUUGAUUAGAAUUUUGAAUGUAUUUGUUUAGACAACUUUUGGAAACUGUAUAUUUUGGGAAUGUAAGAUAUUUUUGGUAGCUCAUAUUGUAUGACUUGAACGAUUAUUAAGGAAUUGACCUUCUUUUUUUUUUA
rnacentral:lncRNA from 1 species